rnacentral:rRNA from 1 species
AAUGUGAAUUGCAGAAUUCAGUGAAUCAUCGAAUCUUUGAACGCACCUUGCGCCCCUUGGUAUUCCGAGGGGCACGCCUGUUUGAGUGUCGUGAAAUUCUCAACCCUU